rnacentral:rRNA from 1 species
UUGGAACCGCGUCAAUCGGUCUCGUGUGAUGGGAUCAAGGCGGAUCAUUCGAAUCGCACUCGGGGGUCAACUGCGGCAACACACAGGUCACUUAAGAUGUUACCAAUAAAAAGCACCGACGAGAUGACCAAAAUACCAUUACCACAGGAUAGUCACGCUCUAACAGUGAUUCAUAACCAAGAAGACCGAAGCCAUUGAUA